GACGAACGCUGGCGGCGUGCUUAACACAUGCAAGUCGAACGGAAAGGCCCUGCUUUUGUGGGGUGCUCGAGUGGCGAACGGGUGAGUAACACGUGAGUAACCUGCCCUUGACUUUGGGAUAACUUCAGGAAACUGGGGCUAAUACCGGAUAGGAGCUCCUGCUGCAUGGUGGGGGUUGGAAAGUUUCGGCGGUGGGGGAUGGACUCGCGGCUUAUCAGCUUGUUGGUGGGGUAGUGGCUUACCAAGGCUUUGACGGGUAGCCGGCCUGAGAGGGUGACCGGCCACAUUGGGACUGAGGUACGGCGCAGACUCGUACGGGAGGCAGCGGUGGGGAAUAUUGCGGAAUGGGCGGAAGCCUGAUGCAGCAACGCCGCGUGCGGGAUGACGGCCUUCGGGUUGUAAACCGCUUUCGCCUGUGACGAAGCGUGAGUGACGGUAAUGGGUAAAGAAGCACCGGCUAACUACGUG
rnacentral:rRNA from 1 species